AUACGGAGGGGACUAGCGUUGUUCGGAUUUACUGGGCGUAAAGCGCGCGUAGGCGGUUUGGAAAGUCAGAUGUGAAAUCCCAGGGCUCAACCCUGGAACUGCAUUUGAAACUAUCAGACUAGAGAUUGGGAGAGGUAAGUGGAAUUCCGAGUGUAGAGGUGAAAUUCGUAGAUAUUCGGAGGAACACCAGAGGCGAAGGCGACUUACUGGACCAAUACUGACGCUGAGGUGCGAAAGCGUGGGGAGCAAACAGGAUUAGAAACCCUAGUAGUCC
rnacentral:rRNA from 1 species